UACAGAGGUGGCAAGCGUUGUUCGGAAUUACUGGGCGUAAAGGGCGCGUAGGCGGCCAUCUAAGUCAGACGUGAAAUCCCCCGGCUUAACCUGGGAACUGCGUCCGAUACUGGUGGGCUCGAAUCCGGGAGAGGGGGGUAGAAUUCCACGUGUAGCAGUGAAAUGCGUAGAGAUGUGGAGGAACACCGAUGGCGAAGGCAGCCCCCUGGGUCAAGAUUGACGCUCAUGCACGAAAGCGUGGGGAGCAAACAGG
rnacentral:rRNA from 1 species